GUUGCCAGCAUGUCCUCCGGGGAUGGUGGGGACACUGUUGGGACCGCCUCUGCUAAAGAGGAGGAAGGAAUGGGCAACGGUAGGUCAGCAUGCCCCGAAUUAUCCGGGCUACACGCGGGCUACAAUGGUCAGGACAAUGGGCAUCAACACCGAAAGGUGAAGGCAAUCUCUUAAACCUGUCCUUAGUUCGGAUUGUGGGCUGCAACUCGCCCACAUGAAGCUGGAAUCUGUAGUAAUCGCGUCUCAAAAUGGCGCGGUGAAUAUGUCCCUGCUCCUU
rnacentral:rRNA from 1 species